GAAAAGUUUUAUUCUUGCUUAUAAAUUUACUUCAACAUUAUUAUAUAUGUAAGUUUUUGCAUAAAUUAUUUAAUUCUUAAUGUAUAAAUAAAUUAUUUUGUGUGCAGUAAUAUAUAUUAUUUUAUUAAGUUAAUUUUGAUAUAGUAAUUGUUGAUAAGUAUUGAUUAAAUAUGUGCCAGCAUUCGCGGUUAUACAUUAGAUAUAAAUAAAUAUUUUUAGUUAUAGUAGUUAAUUUGUUUUAUUAAUUUUUAUUUUAUAUUUUUAGGUGAAAUUAUUUAUUUUUAUUAUUUUAUUUUAGUUUAUUGAGGCUAUGAAAUCUUUUUUUAAACUAGGAUUAGAUACCCUAUUAUUUUUGAUGUAAAUUAUUAUAAACUUUAGUAGUAUUAGAUUUGUUCUUGAAACUUGAAGAAUUUGGCGGUGUUUUAGUCUUUUUAGAGGAAUCUGUUUUUUAAUCGAUAAUCCGCGUUGAACCUUACUUAUUUUAAAGAAAUAUGUAUAUCGCCGUUUAGAGCUAAUUCUAUAAGGGUUAAUUUUUUCAAUAUUUGUAAGAUAAGUUUUCAGGUCAAGGUGCAGUUUAUAAUUAAGUGGGAGAUGGAUUACAAUAUUAAUAAAGUAUACGGAUUGUUGUUUGAAAUAAUUACAUGAAGGCGGAUUUAAUAGUAAUAUUAUAAAGAUUGUUAAUAUGAUUAUAGCUCUAAAAUAUGUACACAUCGCCCGUCGCUCUCGUUAUUUUAAGGCGAGAAAAGUCGUAACACAGUAGUUGUACCGGAAGGUGUAACUAGAAUGAU
rnacentral:ncRNA from 1 species